rnacentral:rRNA from 1 species
ACGAGCGCUGGCGGCAUGCCUAACACAUGCAAGUCGAACGAGGGCUUCGGCCCUAGUGGCGCACGGGUGAGUAACGCGUGGGAACCUGCCCUGUGGUACGGAAUAACUCCGGGAAACUGGAGCUAAUACCGUAUGUGUCUUGAGGGACAAAGAUUUAUCGCCAUGGGAUGGGCCCGCGUAGGAUUAGCUUGUUGGUGGGGUAACGGCCUACCAAGGCAACGAUCCUUAGCUGGUCUGAGAGGAUGAUCAGCCACACUGGGACUGAGACACGGCCCAGACUCCUACGGGAGGCAGCAGUGGGGAAUAUUGGACAAUGGGCGCAAGCCUGAUCCAGCAAUGCCGCGUGAGUGAUGAAGGCCUUCGGGUUGUAAAGCUCUUUCGCACGCGACGAUGAUGACGGUAGCGUGAGAAGAAGCCCCGGCUAACUUCGG